CUGAACAGGCAUCCCUUGAGGGAUAACACUUCCCUUUUGAACAUCCCUACAGAUGAGCAAAGUCAUCACUCUCAUUUUCUGUGGUGGUUGAAAACUGAGGCUUGCCUGUCCUACUUACAGUGUAUCCUUGAGCUACUGGGAAGAUUCAGAUACAAAUGAGGUAGAGGAAAAAAUCUAUCAUAGGAACUGACUGAACUAUGGAUGCACUGUGGCCUUGCAUUCUUGAGGACUUCUAUGUUGAAUGAACAUGUCAGGUGGACCCUUGUUGACGACAGCCAUUGAUGCAUGCUGUGGAACUCUGCGUCCUGACAGACACCUGGGCAGGAAACUUGAUAAGGGAAGUACCCAAAUUUAGUUGUUACCCACUCCAACAAGAGAUGAGGAAACCGAAGAUUGCAAAGCAUGGCUCAAAGAAGGAAAACAACAGUAAAGAUAGCAGCUCUUUCUCCCCCUCAAUAUCCAAAUCGUAUUGCUUUGGCAAAAUUGUUGCCUGGAGAAGCAGUCCUGCAUCAGGGUAACAAAUAGACAAUUAUGACGCUCAGCCAGAUUC
rnacentral:lncRNA from 1 species